rnacentral:lncRNA from 1 species
CAAAAAGACUUACAUGUUUUAGGAAAGAGAAACAAGUCGUCGUGAAGAUAAAGCCUUACAAAUGUACCACAAUAAAUAAAAAAUAUGGCACGCUAGAAGGCUCAACUUGGAAAAAGGAAAACAAAUACAACACAAUUUUUUUAAAAAAAGUAAACUUCAAAUACCACCCCUAUGGUUUCGCACUUUCUCACUUUAGAACCUUGUGGUUUAAAGUUGUAUCAAGCUAGUGCCAUGUAAUUUCAUUUUUAUUUUUUCAUUAGUUUCUCCGUUAAUAUUUCGUUAAAUUAUAUACAAAAAACCUCAGAUACACUACCUAGGUUUAUCGAAUAUUCACUUUAGUACCCUUUAGUUUUAACUUUGUCACUGAUUUAACGAAAAAAAUUAAUGAAAUAAAUAAUAAAAAGAUAAAAAUGAAAACACAGGAUACUAAAGUGAGAAAGUGUGAAACCACAAUGAUGGUAUUUGAAGUUAUCCCAAAAAAAAAAAAAAAAAACU